rnacentral:tRNA from 1 species
GGAGGCGUACCCAAAUGGUAAAGGGGUCCGGCCGCUACCCGGAUAGGCAGCCGUUGGUUGUGUGUGGGUUCGAAUCCCACCGUCUCCU